AUGCAAUAUAUAUGCCCCAGCCUUGAAACAAGAGCUGCCUGGCAGAGGCAGUGCAGUACAUUGGAAGCAUUGUUUUAUUGCUGCCUCGCUGCUGGGAUCGCUGAGCGCUCCCAAAAACCGCCUGGCGCUGCUGCUGUUCUGCUCCAGCGGGACGCAGGAUGCUGCGGGGGGUGGCCGCAUGCUGCCUCUGCUCACUGCGGAGCAGCAGCUCGAGCAAAUGCUAAAGGACUGGAAAUAGCAGUUAAUAAAGGAAUGGAAACAUCAGGUUGUUUUAAGCAUAGAUCACCUCUACGAACCCACUCCACACCUGUCUGAGUGGACACUAAACAGCAAAAUGGAGGGAGAGGCAGGGAGGAGCAGGACUAUAGCAUCUUCACCCCAAAUUCCUAUGAACUGCCAUGGGACUACACCCCUUUGCCUUGGUGAUGAAGCUGAGGACAGAGCACUGUGUGAAUACACGUGGAUUAUUUUGCAGAAACUGUUUGCCAUCUAGUGGUUUGUCAGCCUCCCGCAAAUAGAAAUUUAAAAAAUAGUAAAGAACUGGAGGUCAUAAUGGUGAAAAAAAAUACAUAUUUCCCAAUAUGCUUGAACCUAUAAAAACACAUAGGAAAGAUGAAGCUCCUAUUGCAAACUGUUUGCCGUUAGAAGGAACAUGUUGUGGAGACAAGCCAGGAAAACUUGCACACAAGCAAUGUGAGAUUCCAGGAGAUGUCAGGUAUACACCGUUAAAAAUUAUUGUCUUUUAUUUCAGUCUGCUACUUUCCAUCCAGGAGACCUGACAUAAUUUGCUGCACCAUUUUGUCCAAGCUUGCCCACCCAAAAGCGUGUAUUAUAUAGAAACCAGGAAGGAAAUAAAGGAAAAAAAAGGAAGGAGGGUAGGGGGCUG
rnacentral:lncRNA from 1 species